rnacentral:SRP_RNA from 1 species
UUCGGCAGAGGGCUGAUAUUUAUGGAGCAGCCCGGUGUAAGUGGUGUUGACAUUUGGGUCUUUCACGACGGAAAUCCACGAACCAUGUCAGGUCAGGAAUGAAGCAGCAUUAAGUGGAACCUUCCGGGUGUUGAAAGGGUGCCUGGAUCGAGCUAACUGCAUCGGUAACGUCUGUGGAUAUCAGUUCGAAGCCGG